UUUCAUCUUCCUUCUUAACUCCCCGGAUUUUGUCUCUGAGCUGAUGCUUCAGGUCACCAUUAAUGCCUCUUGCCUGUGACCAUGUACAGUUGAGCAUAGCUGUCUUCUUUGUUGAGAUGUUGUGCCUGAAUGGAAACCUAGCAGCAUCUACUGUUCUUGCAUGGUCACACUUUUAUUCCUGAGAACUAUAUGGAUACAGACCCUUUGUCUUUGGGCACAGAAUGCUGCUGUGAAAUGUCUGACCUGAAACUGACUACCCUCCUGCAUGCCAGCAUCCUGGAGCACACUUUUGAGCUGGGCACAUGGGCAUAUCCAACACCCGGAUGACAGAGAUGCACAUGAAAGGAACCAGGAUCCUUUUAUGACAUUGAAGGAUCAGCUGCCAGUCCUCGCUGGACUACUGAACUCAGGACUCCUGAGAACCAAAGUCGUUUGUCUUACAUUGGUCAUUGUAUCCUGGUGGUUUAGCAGAGGCUGGUACCUUAAUAAUGCAUCAUCCUUAUCCUAUAAAAAAUUUCUAUAGGAACUGGGUAUAUUUCUGGAAAUUAAUAUUUGUUCCAUUGAUUUAUCUCUUUAUUCAUGGACAUGUGACAUAUUUUUUAACUUGUGAUAGCUUUAUUUUAUGAACAUUUAAAACAUUCA
rnacentral:lncRNA from 1 species